AACUGAAGAGUUUGAUCAUGGCUCAGAUUGAACGCUGGCGGCAGGCUUAACACAUGCAAGUCGAGCGGGGGAAGGUAGCUUGCUACUGGACCUAGCGGCGGACGGGUGAGUAAUGCUUAGGAAUCUGCCUAUUAGUGGGGGACAACAUCUCGAAAGGGAUGCUAAUACCGCAUACGUCCUACGGGAGAAAGCAGGGGAUCUUC
rnacentral:rRNA from 2 species